rnacentral:misc_RNA from 1 species
UCACGUCUUACGACGGCAGUUUCACUAGAGUUCCCAGCGUUACCUGAUGGCAACUAGUGAUGGGGGUUGCGCUCGUUGCGGGACUUAACCCAACACCUCACGGCACGAGCUGACGACAGCCAUGCAGCACCUUACUGGCAGUGUAUUGCUACAAAGCCGUAUUUCUACGGUUGUCGUGGGAUGUCAAGCCUAGGUAAGGUU